rnacentral:misc_RNA from 1 species
GUUCCUUUCUUAUCUAAACCUAAGCCUGUCUUGUUAUCUUCCUCUUCUCUCAUCUGAGUUGUGCCGCAGCUUCCUCGCAAAUCUCGCUGGCAUCGCCCUUCUAUGGCUGUGUCCGAAGCCGGUAACCCAUUUCUCCUCCUGCCUACUUUCUUUUCUCUUUGCGACUGCUGUCUGCUGCGCCUUCUUUGAUCUGUGUUGCCCGACGUCGUCUCCUGCAGUGUUCUUAUAUUCUCGUCGAAUCAAGUUGCGGUAGUCAGUUGGGAUUUGGGAAUCCUGAAGAUCCAAGCAUUUUCCACCCCAGAAUUAAUUUUUUGCCCGUGGAUUUCUAAUCAUGUCUUGGUGCACUAUUGAGUCUGAUCCCGGUGUGUUUACGGAACUUAUACAACAAAUGCAAGUGAAGGGUGUGCAGGUUGAGGAGCUGUAUUCUUUGGACCUUGAUUCUCUUGACAGCCUUAGGCCUAUAUAUGGGUUGGUUUUCCUUUUCAAAUGGCACCCAGGGGAAAAAGAUGAACGUCCUGUGAUAAAGGAUUCAAACUCCAACCUUUUUUUU